rnacentral:rRNA from 1 species
AACGCGAAGAACCUUACCCAGACUUGACAUGCAGUGGACCGCCACAGAAAUGUGGCCUCUCUUCGGAGCCGCUGCACAGGUGCUGCAUGGCUGUCGUCAGCUCGUGCCGUGAGGUGUUGGGUUAAGUCCCGCAACGAGCGCAACCCUUAUCUUUAGUUGCCAACACGUAAUGGUGGGAACUCUAAAGAGACUGCCCGGGUUAACCGGGAGGAAGGUGAGGAUGACGUCAAGUCCGCAUGGCCCUUAUGUCUGGGGCUACACACGUGCUACAAUGGCAGGUACAAAAGGCUGCGAAACCGCAAGGCGAAGCAAAUCCCUAAAGCCUGUCCCAGUUCAGAUUGUAGUCUGCAACUCGACUACAUGAAGUUGGAAUUGCUAGUAAUGGCGUGUCAGCAACAGCGCCGUGAAUACGUUCCCGGGCCUUGUACACACCGCGCAUA